CUGGUGUUGGCCAUGAAGCGAUUCUAACACCUCCACAGUCCGCAGACCGCAGAAUUGUUGAUCAGCUUACAUUAUUCUAGAUAAUGAAAAUAUAAAGAUAUCCAGAUGUAAACCUAUAAAACCAAUACCAAAUAUUUACUCUGUUGGUUAAAUGGGAUGGAGCACUAGAAUCUUCUUUUCUGGGUGGUUGAAAGUGUGGUGGUGUCAAGAAGAAGCUGAUAGAGGCCUAAUUUUUAUGUACUCUAUAGGGGACCCUUCAUCUCUGUGUGACAUUGCCCUAUGGGUAUUUAUUUAAGAUUCUUUAAAGUAUCCCCUGGAGAACCUGACGAAGAGGGGGUCCCGCCCCUCGAAACGCGUUGUUCGCAUGCCUUUGUAAAAUAAAUGGUUUGUUAUUUUACCAAGUCCCUACCUUGCUGGGUAUCAUUUACUAAACCCACUCCACUGCGAGUAGAGCGCCGCUGACUGCACGAUUUCAACGGGAGAACUUUUGACCUCCACCUGCAUCUAUACCACAGUCCUCCACCUACUGGAAACGGGACCAGUGCAGGCUGCACUCCUCCAUCUACCACUCAUUGUGAGAACAAGCGAGCUGUGGUGUUGUGCUCAUAGCACAACACAUAUAGGUACGGUCACUCUGCUUUAUAUCUUCAUUGGAACAAUGCAAUUUAACCAGACUGGAAAACCAGGUAGAAGAACAAGACCCUCAGGAGAUUCCUGCCAAGAAACGAACAGCAACAUGAC